rnacentral:tRNA from 1 species
UCGGGGAUCGUCUAACGGUAGGACAUCUGACUCUGGAUCAGAGAAUUGGGGUUCGAAUCCCUGUCCCCGAGCCA